rnacentral:misc_RNA from 1 species
UUUCCGUAGGUGAACCUGCGGAAGGAUCAUUAAAGAACGCCCCGUUUUUUGAAAUGGGUAAUUCUAAACCGUGUAUACAUACCUUUGUUGCUUUGGCAGGUCGCCCCUCAGGGCGUCGGCUCCGGCUGACUGCGCCUGCCAGAGGACCCAAACUCUUUUGUUUAGUGAUGUCUGAGUACUAUAUAAUAGUUAAAACUUUCAACAACGGAUCUCUUGGUUCUG